rnacentral:rRNA from 1 species
UACAUGUGGGGCAAGCGUUGCUCGGAAUGACUGGGCGUAAAGGGCGCGUAGGCGGCAUAACUCGUCAGACGUGAAAUUCCUGGGCUUAACCUGGGGGCUGCGUUUGAUACGGUUGAGCUAGAGGAUGGAAGAGGCUCGUGGAAUUCCCAGUGUAGAGGUGAAAUUCGUAGAUAUUGGGAAGAACACCGGUGGCGAAGGCGGCGAGCUGGUCCAUUACUGACGCUGAGGCGCGAAAGCGUGGGGAGCGAACAGG